rnacentral:lncRNA from 1 species
UGUAUAUUGGUUUUAGUGGAUUCAGGUUCACUGUUAAGAGUAGGAUGUACCUACAUAAAAUCUAUCGAUCUUGAUAGAAAAAGAAAAGUCCUAUGCGAUUUGCAAGACUGAGUUCAGAAAGUCUUCGAUCGAAAUAAGUAUGAAUAUUGAAAAGACGUUUUCACAGAAUUUACAAGUGAACUCGAGUUGAGCCAAUCUGAGAUAUGACUGAUGUUGGAUUUGAUGAGUUCUCCAUGAUCUUCGUCGAGUCGGGACUCACGAUAGAAGGAUUGAAUCAUAUGAUAACUACACCUAUAGAUUUACUACUUCUAUUCUGCUGGGUUGCAACUACAUACUGCUAUGCAUCACUGGUAGAUUGUGGACUUAUCAAGUAUCGUCUUGAUGAUCGGUGAUCCUCGAAGGACAGUUGAAAUUGUUUCAAUCUAUCGAAAGA